AGAAGAUUAAGAAAAAGUCGGGUCCAAAGCUGGGUGGAGAGAGUACAAUGAAUUUUCAUCAGAAUACUGGCAUUUAUUUGAGACUUUCAGAAUAGCCAAAAGAAAAAAAAAAAGAAGAAGUUAAACUUCCAUAUUUUUGGAACAAAGUCAACUAACUGUUCAGUACCCAUGCAGCUCUAAAGGAACUUGGUGGAUAUGGUCAGGAUCAGAAGAAUGACUCAAACAAUGACUUGCUGACAUGGUGAGCAAAGGCAAUUACUGUUCACAUGCAAACUGCCACAGCCUGAGCCCUACAUGAAGCGCUGCAGCAGCAGUGCCUUGGAGAACAAGCAGCAGACUGAUGGACAGGGGGAGCAUGGGGUCUCAGAAGAGCUUUGGAACUUAGGAGAGAUAAGUAAUGUGAUGCUGACAAGUGGCGUUUCAAGCUGUGAGUUUGGGAUGAGGAGGAGGAAAGUGAAGUAGAGUUGGAUGAGAAGGGCACUACAAGAGGAACAGCAGAGAGGAAGGCAACAGGUGAGAGAUGGUGCUUUUGUCAACUUCAGGCUCUAGUUUGCUCCAUUUCACUGCAUCUUAUCCCAGGUCUUCCUUAGUAAAGGUAAGGCAGUUUGAGGGAAGGCACGUGGGAGAAAUGUCUUGCACAAUCUGAGUCAGCAGAAAGCUUGUGAAGAAGGAUAGGUGGCUGCUUUUUAAUUCCCUGUAACAACAACACUCAGAGGUAACAGAAAUACUGAAUGUCAUACUUAAAGCACCUAUAGCUUCCUAAAAAAAUAACAGUGCUUAGCAGAUUACUGUUUCCCAAAUGAUAGAAUGUCA
rnacentral:lncRNA from 1 species